rnacentral:tRNA from 1 species
AAUCAAGAUGCAAUAAAUUGCGCUUAGUUUCGACCUAAUAAUAAGAUAAAUCUAUUAUCCUUGAUUU